rnacentral:lncRNA from 1 species
CUUUUUACCUCCAGCUAUGGCGCCAAGUUUGUCACUCUGGAGGAAUUUAAUACUAUUCAAAACCAAACGUCCAGCAUUAUGAAAAGUUUUCUGGGCUGAUAAGCCGUGCGCCUUUUCAAGAGAGAGUAAAGCAAAACAUUAAUUAUGAGAUCGAAGUUUACUAUUUGCUUCGUUAGAGUCAAGUGCCUGCUAAAGAAAACUUUCAAGUGGAUGCUUGCUUUAGUUGGGAAGGCGCGAUUUUUUAAACUACAGGUCGCACUUAAAAUAUCCAUUAUGAGGCUGAAGGCAAAAAAUCAGCAUUCUUGACGAUUUCUAUGAAACUUCCCGCUUCAUUAGACUGAAGUAUCUUCUAAACAUGAGAAGAUUUUCAAGUUGAUACUUGCUU